rnacentral:tRNA from 1 species
GGUGGAAUAGCUCAGUGGUAGAGCACAUGCUUAGCAUACACGAGGUCCUGGGUUCAAUCCUCAGUAUCUCCA